rnacentral:rRNA from 1 species
GACGAACGCUGGCGGCGUGCUUAACACAUGCAAGUCGAACGGAAAGGCCCCUUUGUGGGUACUCGAGUGGCGCACGGGUGAGUAACACGUAAGUAACCUGCCCUUGACUUCGGGAUAACUUCAGGAAACUGGGGCUAAUACCGGAUAGGAAUCCUUGCUGCAUGGUGUGUGUUGGAAAGCUUCGGCGGUUUUGGAUGGACUCGCGGCUUAUCAGCUUGUUGGUGGGGUAGUGGCUUACCAAGGCUUUGACGGGUAGCCGGCCUGAGAGGGCGACCGGCCACAUUGGGACUGAGAUACGGCCCAGACUCCUACGGGAGGCAGCAGUGGGGAAUAUUGCACAAUGGGCGGAAGCCUGAUGCAGCAACGCCGCGUGCGGGAUGACGGCCUUCGGGUUGUAAACCGCUUUCAGCAGGGGCGAAGCUUGUGGUGACGGUACCUGCAGAAGAAGCACCGGCUAACUACGUG